ensembl:misc_RNA Metazoa_SRP Metazoan signal recognition particle RNA
GCCAGGCAUGGUGGCAUGUGCCUGUAAUCCCAGCUACUCGGGAGGCUGAGGCAGGAGAAUUGCUUGAACCCAGGAGGCGGAGGUUGCAGUGAGCCAAGAUCGCACCACUGCACUCCAGCCUGGGUGACAGAGUAAGACCCUGUCUCAA